GAGACUUGAGCAUCUGCAGAUUUCCGUAUCUGUGGGCUUCCUAGAACCAAUCCCACACAAAUACCAUGGGGUGACGUACUUGAGAAGGUGGAGCAGAGCAGGCCCUGAGGUGCUCUGGAUGUGCCCUGAGGAGUCAGGAGGAGGGACACUUCUGAUCAGUGCAGCAGACACUGCCCCUUGUCAGAAUGAUGUACACUCUCCCUUUCUUUAGACAUGAGCCCCAGUUUUGUUGGGGACAACAACAGGCCCAGCUAGAAGGGCUUGUAUUUCCAAGGCUCCUGUGCAGACAGAAUAGCGUGUGACACAUUCUAGUUAAAUUAUAUAAGCUGAAGAUGUUGAAUAAAGUUCCUUAAAAUGUGGGCAUGUGAGUAGAAGGAGGAGGAAGAGCUUAGACACAGCGGUUUCCUACAGAUUCACCCGUUGUCUUCCCCUUUCAUCCUGCCUAGGACUUGGAGAAGAUGCCAGGGAAGAUGGUAGCCACCACCCGUCUGCAGUGAAGAAGCCAAGAGGCUGAGGACCUGGAUGCUGAUAUCCCGGAGCUGCCUCCAGACUUCUUGUUCUAAGGAAAAUUGAACCAGCGAUUUGCUUACAGCUGUGCUUUGGGGGGAUCUUUGUUUCUCCCAGUCAAAUAUAAUCCCUAAUCCAUACAAUGGUCAACAUUUGACUUUAAUCCUUAAUUUCCAAAGAGUAUGUCAGAUAUUUGCUUGUACUAAAGUUUUGUGGAGCAGAUGCCCCUUGAAGGAACUAGACCAUCCUUUGGGGGCUUGGAAAUCCUUUCACAGAACCAAAUGUUUUGUUCUAGGGGUGUCUGUCUUUGCUGUAAAUCGAGCUGACCUACACGCACAACAUAUGACGAGCAUGAGGCAGCCCAACUGGUUUUAUUAGUUUUCCUUGGGCUUUGGUCUAAAAAGGUUUCUUGCUGAGUUGAUUUCACCCCUGAUAACUUCCUUCACACUCCACUUCCUAAUCGAAAAAGGCCCACAUCAGGGGUAGAGAAACAGAAACCAAGCCUUUCCCACCCUUCUCCUGGGACUCCUUAGCUCUUUACUACACCGCUGGGCUGGCUUAGCAAAAGCAAUUUGAUGUCCAGAAUUUCCUGGCAGCCUUCCACGAGUCUGUCUGCCUCAUCAGAAAACUCCAAUCAUCCUGGAAGCUGACAUGACUUUGGAAAGUGAAACGUAUUUCCCUAAAUUCUGGCCCAUAUGCCCCCAGGUGAAUCUCUCCAAGUCAUUAACCUUAAGAAACAAAUGACACUGGGCCCACUCGUCAGGGAGAAAUGCACAUCAUGUCAACAUGGGUGGAGUUCUGGCCACAGAAAGAGGAAAGUCGGCCUCCCUGACCCCAGGGCUGCUGUAUGCAGGUUCCGGACAAGUGGUGCCCCCAUAAGCAGCACUUCUGCUCUUGGCCAAAACCAUGAGAAAUGAAGGUCAAAAGAUGACCCAAGCCUUUUGAAGAUAGCCAAGUGUCUUCAGCAAAAUGGCAAAUUGCUCUCAGAAUAAACUGAAUGCAUUUUG